rnacentral:rRNA from 1 species
GACGAACGCUGGCGGCGUGCUUAACACAUGCAAGUCGAACGGAAAGGCCCUGCUUUUGUGGGGUGCUCGAGUGGCGAACGGGUGAGUAACACGUGAGUAACCUGCCCUUGACUUUGGGAUAACUUCAGGAAACUGGGGCUAAUACCGGAUAGGAGCUCCUGCUGCAUGGUGGGGGUUGGAAAGUUUCGGCGGUUGGGGAUGGACUCGCGGCUUAUCAGCUUGUUGGUGGGGUAGUGGCUUACCAAGGCUUUGACGGGUAGCCGGCCUGAGAGGGUGACCGGCGACAUUGGGACUGAGAUACGGCCCAGACUGCUACGGGAGGCAGAAGUGGGGAAUAUUGCACAAUGGGCGGAAGCCUGAUGCAGCAACGCCGCGUGCGGGAUGACGGCCUUCGGGUUGUAAACCGCUUUCGCCUGUGACGAAGCGUGAGUGACGGUAAUGGGUAAAGAAGCACCGGCUAACUACGUG